UUCAAAGCAGUAAGAACUUUUUUAAAAUUGUCGGCCCGCUCAUUUGGACUAAGGACCGCACCCGUACCGCACUGAGCAUCGUGGCAUCCUGCAAUAUAAAUAAUGCUUAUUAAUAUUUCCCGUAAGUUGCUGAAAGUCCUGUAAGUACCUCUGUUAACAAUUCCUGAAACGCCGUCUAUGAACCUUCGAUCAUAAAUAUUCAUCCCAUUGUCUACCCAUUUCUUGACUUCAUUUUUGUAAUUCCAUCCAUCUGGUUGAGAGAAAUCCAGCAUUUGAAGUUUAUUUAUUUAAAAAGAAAAUAGAGAAAACUUUUUUCGUAGUUUUCCACUGAAGUAAUGUAAUAAAAUAAGCCUGCGAUCCACUUCAGUUCUGGGUCCGAGGUUGGAUCACAAAUAACACCGGGGUUCUCGCAAAAGUCGUAAUCAGGAUACUAAUGCAAUGCUUACUCAAUAAACUUUCAAAGUAUUAUUAUUCAUUAAUCAAAACCAGAGAGUUGCAGACACCAGUAGUUUGAAUUACGCCUUUUGAUAAUAUGAUCAAGCUCUAUUAAGAACUAACAAUAAGAAAUUUGGGUACCGCGUCCCCACCAGCAGCAACCCUCCACGUCCUCGCGCGGACCUUUAUUAUAUAAAGGCGCGGCAGUUCCCGGGCACACGCCGUUCGAGCAACCUGCCGAGCAUUAAACUUUAACUCUCUGCUUUAACAUACUAAAGGAGGAAGACGUCACCAUCUCCUUCAUAUAACCAGCCUCCUGCCUGAAUUCCUUGGUAAUCUCUGCAGGAUCCACCGUUUUUUACGUACUCAAAGUAGGCUGCACUGCUAUCUGAGUUGUCAAACGGCACCACGUGAGCAGAAGCAGUAAUCAGUACCCGCAGGAGCACACCAUGGGCCAUUGUUGUCCCAUCUCGGCACUUUAGGCAGUAGUGACUUUGGCGCGCAAAAUAAACCAGGGGGGGCUCCAUACCAUUCAGCCUGCGUUGAAGCCCUUAAUACCAUGUUUGGAGAAAGAAACCAGCAGGUCGCCCCACCAGUGCUCAUUGCUAAUUGGUUUUCAGCAUCUGUGCACUUGUAAUCUUGGUAAGAUUGCUGCAUCUGUCCACAUGCUGCUGCUGCGGAAUAUAAUGUUCCUCCUUGACAUCAUGAACAGCCAAGCAAACCAAGUUAAGAGGUAAAGGUAUAAUUUUAGGAAGUUGGUUACCAGAGGACUCCACUGUGGACUUAUCACUCCAAUUGUUUUCAUCACAAGCGUUUACUCGAAUAGUUUCAUGCAUCGCUUGGGCCAAGAACGCUGCAAGACUUACUAGCCCGUAAAUAUGAUUCGUGUCACCUAAUCAAAUAUGGUUAAAGGGUUCAACUAGUAUAUAUUUUACAAACUUCACCAUUCCAUAACUGCAAGUCUCCAACUCCGAUUGUUAACAUGGUUUUAACUGCACCUUUCAUGUCAUCCCACCGGUAAUAUUGUGAAGGCUCCCAUGUCAGAUCUGGUUUUUGAUACCUAUGAAAUGUUAAAACCCAUAGUACACUUGAACGCACUUCGUUAACUCAUACAUAAAAUCAAUCUAACUCAAAAAAGUCUUUGCCCUCGAUGUUAUCUAGUGCUUGAAGUAAUUUCCUUGAAAUAUCGUUUUCAGGAAGAGGAGUAUUAGGAGGUGUUGAAGUGGAAGAAGUUGUGUAAGUUGUAGACGGAGAAGAGUCAGUUGUACACGGGCCUGCUGGAAAGCUGAUGGUGGUGGUUGAAGUUACAGUGACCGUAGUAGCCGAUGCCGAAGGACAUGAGUUAGCGCCACACCAUGUAUAGUCCUCUUUAUUAAAAUCUUCGCAAUAUGCUUGGUCUAUAAUAAGACAGUCGCCGUUGUGCAAAUUAAAGCAACCUCAACAUAAAUGAGACCGGAUAAUAGUAGAGGCUAUGAACAUUCUAUUAAAGUCAUACCUCCAUUACAGCCUUCAC